rnacentral:rRNA from 1 species
UACAGAGGGGGCAAGCGUUGUUCGGAAUUAUUGGGCGUAAAGGGCGCGUAGGCGGUGCGGUAAGUCACUUGUGAAAUCUCUGGGCUCAACUCAGAGUCUGCAAGCGAAACUGCCGUGCUUGAGUAUGGGAGAGGUAUGUGGAAUUCCCGGUGUAGCGGUGAAAUGCGUAGAUAUCAAGUGGAACACCAGUGGCGAAGGCGAGUCUCUGGACAUUUCCUGACGCUGAGGCACGAAAGCCAGGGGAGCAAACGGG